rnacentral:lncRNA from 1 species
UUGUGACCAGGCCAGGACUUUAUUAACGUUAAUUUUAAAAGCAGCGCUAUGCUAGUCUCAGAAUGAAACCCAUUUGGGCCUAAAACAUUUCUCAGACUGUAAAACAGAUAACAGUUCAUUGGUGUUGAAUGUAGACCACAAAGACUCAGAAUGUAAUCUUGAAGAAAUAAAAGAAUAAGUCAAAUCGCACAUGAAAUAAUGAAAAAGAGGAUGUUGUAACCAGACCAGGACUUUAUUAACGUUAAUUUUAAAAGCAGCGCUAUGCUAGUAUUGGAAUUAAACAUUAGUAUUAAUAGUAGCUUUAUUAAUGUCGGCAUCUAUCUUUUACAUGCAGAUCCGGAGAUUGGGAUUCAUAAAAAAGAUAUAACCCAGCCUUUCACGUGGCUUAAUCUGACUUGGUUCCCGGCUAACUCUCCAUGGUCUGGUCCUCUCGCCCAGGGAAAAGGAGAAGGGAGAAGAAAGGAGGCAGGAACACUGUUUGAAGAGGUCUUCUCAGGUGGACGAGACUGGGGUUUUGUUUUUGCUACCUUUGUUAGCUGGAGUGUGAGGGGGAGGGGGAAGCUGGGAGGAGGCAGGAGUGGAUUUUGCAAAACAUUCCUUGCCCCAGGGGCGAAGGCGUUAUUGUGGAGGAGGAGGGGAAGUUGCAAUAGAAAGAGGCAGUUGGACCUUUUAAAGGCCUUAGAGGACAAUGCUGGCCUGUUCAUUGAGGGAUAUGCCCUGGAGGCUGAAGACCAGGGAGUAACCAGGAGAACUGCAUGACAAUACCACACCAAACGGUCUGCUCUCGGGAGAAAUGUGCAAUCAGAGCUAGAAGCUUCCUGCAUAG